CUCCAUCUGAUACUGUGUUUAGCAGAAGCCCUGGGUAGAUGUGGAUUCUCUUUCUUGAAUUUUCCCUGACAGACCGCUUCCAGCUGCCCUCUAGGGUGGGAUGCCAGUGUGAUAAAAUACAGCGUCGUGUUUGCUGAGGAUUUCAGCUGCCACCUGGGGGCUCAUGCACUCAAUGAGUGCUCUUUAGCAAGGCUGGUGGUGACAUGGUGACAAACGGUCCUGAACACUAGUGGCUGAACUGAAAAGUGGAAAAGAUGAUGAAAGCCAGGCACUGAGAAAACAGUUAAUGAAACUCUUCAGAGGUCUCCAGAAAGGACUGAUUCCCCUGCACACCUGACAAGGAAUCUUGGACUCUUGCUUAUGAAAGGGAAAGGAAGUCCAUUCUACUGGAGACUUGUCAAGAAAUUCCAGUGAGCCCCUGGCGGAGGGCUUCAGUGGCCAGGGUAGCUUUCUGCUUUUGGUUGUAAAAAGAUAGGAAAGUAUCAUCCUUCGAAGCGAUGUCGUGGGCUCAGAGCCUUCUGUGCACUUUGCCAUAUUAUGCCCUCUCCAGUUCUCAAGGGCCUGAGCAGUAGCCUGCCUGAUAACGAUCAAGCAGAGCCCUGCAAGUUUCAAGAGGAAUGUCAAUGACUCUUCACUGAAGCCUCCCAGUGUCAGCACCAGGAUGGGCCUUCAGACCCCAGCAUCUCCGCGAGCAGUGAGCAAAGCGGGGCACAGCAGCUUCCCACUUACAGGUAAUUUAUAGAUUCAAUGCCAUCCCCAUCAAGCUACC